rnacentral:rRNA from 1 species
UGAGCCAAGUUUAGGGUUUUCUCAAAACCCAAGCAGUAUUGAACUGAAGAGUUUGAUCAUGGCUCAGAUUGAACGCUGGCGGCAGGCCUAACACAUGCAAGUCGAGCGGAUGAAGGGAGCUUGCUCCUGGAUUCAGCGGCGGACGGGUGAGUAAUGCCUAGGAAUCUGCCUGGUAGUGGGGGAU